GUUGGCUUCCCAGGCCUACUUAAGAGCUAGGCUACUCCUGGCCAAAAGUGUCAAGUAGGCGAGGGUUGUCUUCUGGGCCAUGCCUUGCCUUCUCACUGUCUCAAGCACUAGGAAUGUUGUGGAUCUCAUGUGGACCUCUGGCUCCCACUGAGCCAGCUGCUCAGGCCACCUUCUAGGGAAGCUCCUCACUACGCGCUAGAAGAGGCCCAACCUUUGUCCUAGAGGAGGAGAGCGAUUUUUCUUUCUGCUGGCAGACAGAGGUCUGUAGGGACACAAAGGUUACUGUAAGUAUAAAAUAGUUUCCUAUGGGUGAAGCUGAUGUUUGGGGUGCUUAGGAUAAGGAGUAUGUAGAGGCGCCACAAGUAGAGUGGCCAUCGAAACACCCGACACUCAGUUAAAUUCAAAUUUCAGACAAACAGCAAAGAAUAUUUUUUAGUAUAAGUGUGUACCUUGAAUGCACUCUCUCUUAUAUUUAUGAUUUCCCCCAUUUUUUGAGUUUUUUUCCUCACACCCAAUUUGAAAGCGUUUUUGUCUCAAGCCAUCUUUCCAAAGCAUUGAAAUGAGAUUUAGAGAAACAGUAACUCCCUCUUAUCACGCUCAUUUCUUUGUAGUGUGUAAUAGUUAACUAGAGCACACACUGUAACAAGUACAGUGGGCUCAGACAAGGUUAGGGACAAACAUCCCUUACUUUUGAAGAACACAGCCUCACUCGUAGGAACAGACUACAGAGUACUGGAAAGGGGCCAACUAGGCCAGAUGUUCAGCUCGCUCCUGGCAGGAUGUUUUCUAGAAAGAUCGAUGGUCAGUUGGUGAGUUUGCUAACUGGAAAGUAGGAAGGAGGUGACUGUGGCACCAGGCACACGGGCCAAAAUAGAAGAAUUUUCCAGGAGCUUUUGGAUAUUUAUGGCCUACCAUCAUAAGCUGAAAAACUGGCAUCCCCAUUCCAGGGUCUUGAGGCACAGAGAAGAGUUUGAUCCUCUUGAAGUAGAUGACUACCAGAUUUGUAGUCCAGCCUCAAUACCUCUCCCAGAACAGAACAUGAGAGACUCCUAACUCUGGGAAAUGAACUAGGGGUGGUGGAAGGGGAGGUGGGGGGGGUGACUGGGUGACGGGCACUGAGGAGGGCACUUGAUGGGAUGAGCACUGGGUGUUAUUCUAUAUGUUGGCAAAUUGAACACCAAUAAAAAAUAAAUUUAUAAAAAAAUACCUCUCCCA
rnacentral:lncRNA from 12 species